UGACUGGGGCGGUCUCCUCCUAAAGAGUAACGGAGGAGCACGAAGGUUGGCUAAUCCUGGUCGGACAUCAGGAGGUUAGUGCAAUGGCAUAAGCCAGCUUGACUGCGAGCGUGACGGCGCGAGCAGGUGCGAAAGCAGGUCAUAGUGAUCCGGUGGUUCUGAAUGGAAGGGCCAUCGCUCAACGGAUAAAAGGUACUCCGGGGAUAACAGGCUGAUACCGCCCAAGAGUUCAUAUCGACGGCGGUGUUUGGCACCUCGAUGUCGGCUCAUCACAUCCUGGGGCUGAAGUAGGUCCCAAGGGUAUGGCUGUUCGCCAUUUAAAGUGGUACGCGAGCUGGGUUUAGAACGUCGUGAGACAGUUCGGUCCCUAUCUGCCGUGGGCGCUGGAGAACUGAGGGGGGCUGCUCCUAGUACGAGAGGACCGGAGUGGACGCAUCACUGGUGUUCGGGUUGUCAUGCCAAUGGCACUGCCCGGUAGCUAAAUGCGGAAGAGAUAAGUGCUGAAAGCAUCUAAGCACGAAACUUGCCCCGAGAUGAGUUCUCCCUGAGACUUAGAGUCUCCUGAAGGAACGUUGAAGACGACGACGUUGAUAGGCCGGGUGUGUAAGCGCAGCGAUGCGUUGAGCUAACCGGUACUAAUGAA
rnacentral:rRNA from 1 species